rnacentral:rRNA from 1 species
GACGAACGCUGGCGGCGUGCUUAACACAUGCAAGUCGAACGAAAAUACCAAGCUUGCUUGGUUGAUUAGUGGCGAACGGGUGAGUAACACGUGAGUAACCUGCCCCUUACUUUCCUGGAUAACUGCUCGAAAGGGUAGCUAAUACGGGAUAUUCUGACCAGCCUGCAUGGGUUGGUUUGGAAAGGUUGUUUUUCUGGUAAGGGAUGGGCUCGCGGCCUAUCAGCUUGUUGGUGGGGUGAUGGCCUACCAAGGCUUUGACGGGUAGCCGGCCUGAGAGGGUGGACGGUCACACGGGGACUGAGAUACGGCCCAGACUCCUACGGGAGGCAGCAGUGGGGAAUAUUGCACAAUGGGGGCAAGCCUGAUGCAGCGACGCCGCGUGAGGGAUGAAGGCCUUCGGGUUGUAAACCUCUUUCGUCAGGGAACAAGGCACUGCUUGCGUGGUGGUGUUGAGGGUACCUGGAUAAGAAGCGCCGGCUAACUACGUG